CUGCAAAGUGCCUCGCUCAGGCUCCAUGGGGGAUGAGAUCAACAGAUCCUUUGCCAGACGCAGAAAAUCCUGCAUUUACAAAAGGCCCCCAGAAAGCAUUUUCUGUGAGUGUGCUGGGGAGGCCGCUCAGGCCCAUGCAGAAUGCUAUCUGUAAGAGGCUUCUCUGUGGCCGUGAGCCACUUGGCAUGACAGCUCUCCAUUCCAGGGUGUCCUCCGCAGCUGGAGUCAGGAGCAUAAGCUUGGCUCAAGAACAUAUACUCUGGGCAAGGUGCUGGUGAGAACAGCAGAGCCAGCUGGAGGCUCUGGGAGGAAUUCCAUCUGGAAGGAAGCACGAUGUGUCCAGAGGGCAGCAGGGUCUGGUGGAGUCAAUGCUGGCGAGGGUGUGUGUAUUGUGGCAAGACUCUGGACUAGGGUGCAAAUUCGGGCCAGCAGAUGGAGAGGCUGGAGCUUCCUGGGACUGAACCAGCAGGCAGGAGUCAGUCCAGGGAUACAUCAAGUUAUGAUCUGAACAUGCUGUGUUGAAUUCUAUCAUAGGUAGACAUCAAG